AACUAUUCAAGACAUUCAAAUCGCCUCCACUCCAUAAAACCCAUAACUCUUCCCUCAGUUUGAAACUUCCCCAAUUUAAAAGUUUCGCGUCCUUCCAGCCCCGUCAAUUCUCAAAGAACUGCAAUUCUCAGAGAACUGCAAUUCUCAUUCCUUCUUCGUUCUAGAUCACGACGGCAUGAAAUGGAUCUAAAUGAGCCUGCAAUCGAAGAGUUACGGAUGAUCCUCGACUCAAAUCAACUGACAAACAAUGAGGCAAGUGAGGUAAGUAUUCAAUCAAAUAUAAUUCUGAAUAUUCAUCUGUCUUCUGUCGAUCACAAUUGUUGGCAGUGACAUUCAUAUUCAUACAGUCCAACUCGGUUCCACAAGAAUCAGUAUAACAACAAUCCUUUGUUAACACCUCAGAAAGAAGUACAAUGGACAAACAAUAAAUUUUGCAGGGACGAAGCUACAUUAUGAUGUUAGGGGGCAACCCCUACAAACAAUCUCUGUAGAGUAGUGGUAUUGUUGUUGGUUUUUAGUUUGAGGGCACUGGUUCAAAACCCAACUGCACGCCUCCAAUUAGCAGUAAUAAAGUCAAUCCGAUCCACAUAUAUGUAUUUCCAACCGGCACAGAUUGUAUCUUCAAUCCUAUCUCACCACAAUUAACAUGCUCAUGAACCCCAAGUUCCAUAACGAUAUAAAAUGCACUUUCGAAAUCAAACAUUUUCAACACUAACUUCUAACUCGCCCCUUGGCAACCCAUAAUCAAACUGAACAGUAGUUUUGGUCAACAUCAAAUCUUGACCAAAAAGAAGGUGAAUGGACUUACUCCUACCAUCAUAAUGCAGUAGUAACUCAUCCACAACCCGACUACAGAUUUGGUGCAGCCGACUAGAAGCAAAUGCACCAAUUCCAUACUCUUCUGCAACUACAAUCUUAGCUGCAUCCAUGUGCAAAAAGCUCUUGCAUACACUGUUUGUAGCACAUCAACUUGAAAAUUUUGGUUGACAUCUAAAUAAAAGCAAUGCCUUGUGAGUUAUGAUCGCUCACUGAAAGUACCAAAAAAAAACAUGAAUACUUCUUCCUAUCUAUGAUUUCUAUAGAGACUUCAAACAAACAAGUUAUAAUUCUCCAACGUUGUACUACUACUGCCAACUAAUACUCUAGUUUUUUACCUAUAUAGCCGCAUUCUAGUAUAAACUCAAAGACCAACGUUACAUAGUAAACAUGCUCCAAUAUGUUUCUGUCAUCACAAAAAUGUAUAGUAUAUCUCCAGAAUACAUCCCUGGAUCAUGAAGAAGCUUCGAAUGUCUCCGGCCGCCAGUCGCCUUUCUGUGCACUAAGUACACCUUCUUGGUUGUUGGACAAGGUAACCUCCCAAUGCAGAGACUUGAGUAUGCCCUCGACUUCCUGUAUCGUAUUUGUUUCGUCUCGAACGAUGAACUUACCUCCCGGUCUGAGUAUUCUGUCAACCUCUGCCACUACAGGUACAAGUUUGCACCUGUAAAAACUCAUAGAGCACAAACUCGAAGUCAGACUCGUGGCUUUUCAAGUCUAGGAGAAUAAAGAAGGACGCCAUUUGGAAUUUUUGUUAACCUGGUUUUCAACUUUGAGAAAAGAUGAUCAGCAUGAACCAGAUCAUACGUCCGAGGGUAAGUGCUGAAGGAUUCACACCAGUCAUGGUAGAUCCCAAACAGCCCUCUCUCGUAUAUUAUCGGAAGGGUGUCUGGAGAAUCUACAGUAACCACAUUCAACACCCAAACCUUCAUAUCUUUAAGAGCUGCUGCGAAACUGGAGCGCAAAAGAACUCAGCAAUGUGAUUGAAGAUAUGGAAUAAUUUAUUUAUCUAUAUGAGAUGAGAUCAUUACCCGCCAUACACAGCUCUCAUGUCCAUAACAUUUCUCACGCCGUCCCAGCUGAUUCCCAGUCCUUUCAUAUACGUCUUAGUCACCAGAUUUUUCCAGUGCUUAUAAUCUGUUAUGAAGUCUUGGGGUGCUGGUUUACCGUAGAUCCCCAUUUGAGAGCUGUUGAGCCAGUAAGGAGGCCUCUGUAAUCUUGCAGGCCAAUCAUCUGGCCAUUCUGUCCCUCGGAUGCUUGGCUCAGAAGGUACUCUGUGCAUGCAUGCCUGCAGUGGGACAGACCUGGGAACCGAAAUCUAGAUUGGUCAUCUUUUCUCUUCUCCUUGUCAAUCAAGCUUCUGAAUAAGGAUUUUGGAAACAAGAUACUUGACUUACCAAGCAGCAUUUGAAUCAUCAUCAUCUGCACACAUUGGAGGUUCAUUUUUCUUCCUCUGAUCAUAACAAUCAUUGGUUGUGGGCUUGCUGUAAAUAGCAGCUCCAAUCUUGUUAAGUUUGUCUCCCUUGAUUGUCACAAGUUCCCAACACAUUUUUACAGUCAACGCAGACAUUGCUAGGGGUGAAAAAAAGAAACAAAAUAUUAAACACCUUUGUUCAGAAAUUGACUCUAAACAAGAGAACCUAUGACAAGUUUGUUCAUUUAUGCAUUAAAAUUGCCCUGUCUUUUAUAUUACCUUGCCAAAUUUCGACAUCUUCCUUGAGCUUUUGAUACACAGGAGUUGCUGACCAAAUAAAGUACCCUCCAGGACGAAGAAGACGAUUCAAUUCCAGGAGCAAGAGACCUCCUGAAACAACCACACCACUUCAAUAUAUAUCUGAUGCAGAUGUCAGAAUGCAUUACAAUAAGCAAGUUUAAUAGAAGCGAAAGAUUGGACCU
rnacentral:lncRNA from 1 species